CUGGUGAGUGUGUAUUCUUGUUCAAAGGAGGUCACGGGCCAAUCAGCUCGGGUUUUUUUUCCUCUAUAGAGAUGUUCCCAUUGCUAAGUUCAAAUGAGUCAAACCGGAAGAUAGCCAUUGCCAAUAUGUGUGUAAGUAGGUGUGGGACAAGACAUAGCCCAGCACCUAUAAUACCAUAAAGCAGCUCCUUGCUAGCAGCUCCCCAAAUCGCGGGAGCUCUAAGGCGUCCUCGCCGAGCAGGGAGCCAGGCUUUCCCAAAGCAAACUUACAUAAGCAGCCGCAGCCGCCUCCUUAUUCCGGAGCAGCUGCGACAAUGGCGGCCACACCACUUCCCUGUUGCGACCGCACAACUUGGGAGUGGGGAAUCCGGGACCCCGUGCAAGACCUGGGGCGCAGUCCGCGCGUGGGGAGCCCACACUCGCAUUUCGAAGCCCGUGAUCAGCCGGGUGCAACGAGCCCUCAGCAUUCUUUCCUAAACAAAAGCUCCCCUGAGCGGUGCCCGCCAGCGACAGGCCACCUUCCCUUCCACCAUCCGCCACUUCUCCAGGUCGCGGCGCGGGCGCGAGGCUCUUCUUUGGCCCGCAGCAGCCCCGGCGGCGCGACAAGCUCCGGAGCGGGCAUGCGGCCGGUUCCGCAGCCCCGCGCCGCGCCGCGCCCUGCUCCGCCCGCGAGCCCGGAGCUCGCGCCCCGCGCACUCCGCGGCCUGCGCGUCUGGUCCUCCCGCGCCCUCCCGCGGCCAGGGGCGGGGGCGGCGCGCGGCCGGCUCCCCGGAGCUCCGCGGACGCAGGCGGGGAGCGUGCGCGGGGGUCCCGUCUGCUCUGGAGGGUAUGGCUGCGAGGGGCGGCGCCCCGCGGGCCGCGCUCGGGCCCGGCUCGGCCGUCCCCACCCCCACCGCGGUGCACUGCGGCGCGGAGAGCCGGGCGGCCAUGAACUCGGCCGCGGAGCGCGCGCGCGGGCCGCCGCCUGGCCUCUCCCCACCCGCUCGCUGGCCUGCGCGGUCCCCGGGGCGCUCGGCCCCCACGCCCAACCGCGGCCCACGCCCGAUCCCGCUCGCACCGCGCUGCGCCGCCACAUCCUGCAGCUGGCUGCUGCCCGAGCUCGGCGGGAACGCGCCUCCUCUCAGCCGCCCCGCCGCGCCCGCCGCCGGCUGCCCCCGCGUCCCCGCGCCCGCCCCGGCCCUUUCCGCACCCGGCCCGCGCUUACCUGCAGCUUGGCACAGCUACAGACGCUCGCCGUGGGCUCCCGCGUUCGGCAGCGCGCAAGCCAGGACGGGAUGGAGUGGGGGCACGGUGCAUCCCUCUCUAGACAUGUUCCAGAACUAGGUUGCACUUGAUGCUUCCAUGGAGAGAUCAGAUGGGCUGGCAAUGUCAGCACAUCCAUGAACCCUCAGGUCACCGCUUCUUCUGCUGCCUUGAAUGACAAACGUCUUAGAGGAUGCGACCGGUUGCAAACGAACUGAACCUAGCCAACUCCAGCAUACUGCAACAUUUCCCAACCCACAAGGGAGGGAGGAAGAGACUGCUAUGAGAGGAGAUAGACCUUGAGCACUUGGCACUUGGCCAUGGGAAGUAGACCCUGAGGACAGGCUGACGGAACAGAAAUAAUCCGGCAGGACUGAAAAGAAACAGCAAGUAACAAGAGACAUAGGGCUGGGAAAUUAGUUAGAAUAACUCACAGCCUGCCCAAUCUGGGCUUAGUGCAUGUGAAUAAAACACCAGGAUUUUGUGUCUUUUACAUGGGCUAGCUAGAAUAAAUAUUAUGUUUAUAACAGAUCAGAACGCUAUUGCUGCAUUAAUGGAACAUUUCGGGGGUUUUGUUAGGAAUGAAAAUACUUGCUGCACGUUGAGUCAGAUGGAGGCACUUUAUUAGAUUUAAUCUCAUUAUAAAACAUCCUGAGGAAUAAUUAUAUCAAACGAACCUCUGAGCCAUUCUCUUAAUCUCUGUAUUGAUACGGACUAGGGAAGAAAUUCCAGUUACUCUGAUAGGAAGGUUGAAUAGAAAGGCCAGGCCUUCCAUCAAGUGACAGAAAUACCUGAUCAAAUAACACAAGAGAACAACGGUUUUCUCCAGCUCCAAGUUUUAGGAACUUAGGACCACAGUUUAUAUGAGAAGCACUGUGGUUGCUUCUCCACCAAGGUGCGACAGAAACCACAGUGCUGGGAGCCUGCCCUAAGGAGACACUCACCUCACUAUGUGCAGGGAGCAGUGAAAAGGGAGAUUGGUCAAUGGACAAGAUGCAGCCCCGACGUUGUUCUCCAGGUAGCCCCCACAAGCCGGGGUCCAGCCUCUCUACUAUGCAAACAUGUAAGGGACAGACUAUACCUCAAACUAUAAUUACAUACAGAAUAUGUAAUGACUAUUCCUGGUUGCCACCUUGACUGUAUCUGGAAUGAACUACAACCCAGAGUUGGGAGGGCUCACCUGUGAUCAAUGAAUCCUCACUGGACAAAAUCACAAUACCCAGGUGUCUGUGUUCUCACUCUAGCCUAAGGAACUAAGUUUAUUCUUGACUCAAAUGUGAGUGAUCAGAAUGUGAGGCUUCAGAUGACAAGGAACAAUUCAGUGAUUCCAAUUCUCUGGAGUUUUUACAGUUGUAGGCUGGGAGACACAAGUUUCUGACCUGGGUUUUGGCAUGAAGGUCUUGGGGCACAGUGGCCAUGGAAAGCUUAGACCCAGGCAAGGUAGCAGACGCUUUUAAUCCCAGGAGAGUGGGGCAAGAAGAUCUCUGAGUUCAAGGUCUGCCUGGGACAAAACAAGUCCCAGAUCCAGGCGUGGUGGUGCACACCUUAAUCUGGGCCACACCUUCUGCUGGAGACCUACAUGAAGACAUUGGAAGAAGGAAGACUCACUCUUUGCCUGCUUGCACUGACUUGCCAGCACAUCUGUUGGAACCGACUUCUACAGAAGACCAGCUGAAACAACUCACCUCGUGGGACUGAGCAACUACUAGGUCCUUGGACUUCCCAUCCACAGCUGCCCAUUGUUGGGGAAAUUGGAUUACAGACUGUAAGUCAUCACAAUAAAAUCCCUCAAUAUAGAGAGACAUCCCAUACGUUCUGUGACUCUAGAGAACCCUGACUAAUACACCAUGCAUAGCCUUCUGUGUGUUGAGUCCCAAAAGGCUAAUGCCCAUCUCACUGUGCAAAAUAUAAGUAGCCAGUCUCUAAAAGCCCUGUAGUCGCAACAGUUCUGGCGUUGGUCAGAAGGCAGAGCUGAAACUCUUGUUUGAGAGCCAGAGAAAACUCACAGCCAUGAGCUUCUGUAAAAUCACAAAUCAUAUAUGGCCAGGGUAUAGAGUAAACGUUUCCAUUCGAAGAGGGAAGACUAGGAGGGAUUUAAGGAGGGCACACGUUCAAAGCGAGACUGAAACUUAGCCCGGAAGUCAUUAAGUCCUGUAGCUUUGUGUCCUGUGUAUGGGGCGCUUGAAGUCAUGGUAGGGGCAGAGUGUGUGUAGACCAUGUGACUAGCUCUACUGGUCUCUUGCAGCCUCCCUAGGCGAUGUCCCAUAUUACAUCUUCCAGGGUCUUCACUGCAGCCUGUCAGAAACUUUCACGGUUGCCUCAAAGGUUUUCGUCACCGAAUUCCAACACAACUGACUUUCCAAAGAAACCAUUGGUUUCCACUUCAGUGUGAUUUAGUGAACUAUUAUUUUUCAACGAUAUGGUCAUAUUCAUUCCAUUUUUAAAUUUAUACCUCCUCAUUUUAUAUGACUCUGCCUUACAGUUUCCAAGGAUAUCAUAAAAAAAUUGUACAUGUAUUUAAUUCUUUUUUAAAUGGUAUGGUAAACAUCUUAUUUUGUUAUUAAUAUAUGUGUCGUCGUAUUUAAAGUGGGUUUUAUGGUAGUUUUUGUUUGUUUUUUAUUUUAAUCCAAAGAAACAUGCCCUUUUAAUGUUGGUGGACUCACAACAUUGGUGAAGAUGGUUUUUGAUACAAUUGAAUUAAUAUAAACUGUUUUUGACUAUUUUGCAUUUGCUAUCCUUGUAUACCACCCCCUGCCCCCAGGCCUCCAAGGCAAACCCAAAACCAAAACCAACCAGCCAAAUCAAACCAAAGCAAACUGAUCCAAAUGAACGAGAAGCCCAACUGAAGAAACUAGACUUUCCAUAAAGUAGUAAGGUCAGGAAAAGGAACCACUGUAUAGCCGUGGAUUGAGUCUGCCCUUCCUAGGACUUGACCCUAUGAACUUCACCCACACUCAUAGUUUCACCAUCCCUGUCUUCCUGGGUGGAACACAGUGUCCGUAGCGGGCUGACAUUUUAAUUUGUUUAACUUUCUGGAAAUCUUGUUGUUGUUGUUUUUAUUUUUUUUGGUUUUUGUUGUUGUUGUUUGUUUUUUGUUUUUUUUUCUCCAUCAGGUCAUUCAGGCUCUGAUAAAACCGGAGGAGGCUAGGAAUUAGUUUGAAGAUCACAGGACUCCUGAAUGGGAGGUGGAAUUCACAGUGGUUAGAUUGGAACUUAGCUUCCAUUUCUAUUUACCACUGCUAAUCUUCCCACCAUCUGCCCAAUGUUCUUUCUCCCUUUUCUCUCCAUUCCUAUGUACACAUUUGCUCUGACCCAGUUUGCUACAAAGAGAACAUCACAGUUACAGUAUUUCCCUCCAAACACCCAGAUGUGUGUUUCCUUUUUUAAAAGGCGACAGUACCUUACGUUAUUACCACAGUGAGCAAAGGCAAGUAGCUGAUGCCCGGGAGAUGAUGCUGUAAUCUAACCCAUGCCUCAAGUAUCCCGGCUCCCCACACAUCCAGUACUUCUGUUACUAUUACAUCUGGUUGUCAAGGGUUAACACUUCCAUUGCUCGCUUCUGAGCUCACCUUUGUGGCUUUUGGUACUUACAGAGGCAUCUUCUAAAUUCUGUGGUUCCUGUUAUGGGGGAAAUACCACACUGCAGUAUUUAGCGUUAUUUUAAAUUCCACACAGAAGGACGUGGACCCUUUCACCAAGCUCCAGUCACCCCUAUUGCCAGAGGCACAUCCUAGAGCCACACCUUUCUGAAACCUGAGAAUAAUUUUUGUUGCUUUUCUUUCUCUCGUCCUGCCUGCAAAGCUCCACCACUUGACUCCACGGUGGAGCACUGAGCCACACUUUGGAAGCUUUUCUUUUUAAAAUUUUCAGAGGACAGACCAGAAGACUUGAAUUUUUGUCAUCGGUCAAGGACUGUUUCAUGUAAGAAAGGAAAGUGUGUAUUCUUACGUUAAUAUCCCACAUGUUAUAUUCCUGUUGAGAAGCAGGUUUUUGAAGCUGAAUUUAGUUUCCCCUUCAUUGCGGCGGACACCUGAACGGUGGACUCCUGAACUGUGUGGAGGAGCACUUCACCAGUCUGCCGGAUGGUGCGUACAGCACAGUUACCCUUGUGGUCUGGGACAGUGUCCAAGCGACCACUCAGGUCCUUUGGACUGUGACACUCUAUAGGACUGACAAAGUGGAAUUCAAGUUAUGUCUAUUAUAGAUGCUAAACUGAAGCACCUACUGAUCUCUACCUACAUCAGAUUAAUGCUCUGUGUCCCAAAUGUUCGUCAGUGUUGUGUGACGGUGUUUAGAAAUUGGCCUAUCAUAUCAGUACCUUCAGGCAUGUGAUAUAAAACCGCUAUGUGAUGUUACUUAUGGUAUUUAAUGAACUGCUCACUCUACCUUUUAUACGUGAAACUAGUUCAUCAGCGUGGUACAAAAUUUAAUAUUUUAUCAAAACUAUCAUUCUGCCAAAUAUUGUUAAACUAAUUUUAAAGGGCUGAAUGCAUUAGCAUUUACUGCAGGUGAGCAAAAAAAAUUUAUUUUGCUUUUCUGGAAAUCAAAAGGUCAUGCUGUCUUGCCAGCCGUGAGUACCCCAAAUGUCAAUAUAAUUAAUAGAUAAUUGAAAUAAAAAUUUCGUCAACUGGCAUCUGUAAUUCAGCUCCAUAUACAACUUCGUCCUUUCCAACCCUGGUGUACAUGGUUGUGCCCCUUCACAUUUGGGCUGUACGUUCCACAUAUAUUUAGGUUUGUAUUACCUAAACAAACUUGUUACAGCUGGUGAAACAGCCAUCGAACUAGCCCAUCAAUGUCACGGUAUUUAGUUUCUUAUCAACGUCAAAACAGUGUCAGUUCACAAACUUAGUGUAUAAAUUGUUCAAGUAAAGACAUUGAAGAAAAGCAGCUUACAGCAAGGGGUGGCUCCUUACCUGGUGUCUGGGUGCUGAGCUCGAACCACGUGUCACUGCCUAUCAACCAACGUUCCAGGAGCAGGCUGCUUCAUGCGUGACUCACGAUGCAGUUUCCGUAUUUCUGCAACCAGAAGAAA
ensembl:lncRNA